AUUUAAACUUUUUUUUUUUUUUUGAGACUAGGCCUGAAGCAUACUAGGCCGGGUCCCUGUAUGAAAUUGCAAAUUGGUUUCACUCCACCAGUAUUUAAGAUCUGUGAAGAUGGAAAUGUGAGGAUUGGUCACCAAGCUACUUUUUCAUCAGUGUCAUAACCAGGAAUGAAUUGGGUCUGCUUGAGUCCAGUCCACUAUUCCAGCUUUGUAUCUAAUGAUGGGAAUUGCCCAGGCACUGAUUGCAUUGAUGGUAUUUCCUCCACUGAGUUUGGACUUUAGGAUCGUCACUCUCUUGAUGAAAU